rnacentral:rRNA from 1 species
AGUGAACGCUGGCGGUAGGCCUAACACAUGCAAGUCGAACGGCAGCACAGUAAGAGCUUGCUCUUACGGGUGGCGAGUGGCGGACGGGUGAGGAAUACAUCGGAAUCUACUUUUUCGUGGGGGAUAAUGUAGGGAAACUUACGCUAAUACCGCAUACGACCUACGGGUGAAAGCAGGGGAUCUUCGGACCUUGCGCGAUUGAAUGAGCCGAUGUCGGAUUAGCUAGUUGGCGGGGUAAAGGCCCACCAAGGCGACGAUCCGUAGCUGGUCUGAGAGGAUGAUCAGCCACACUGGAACUGAGACACGGUCCAGACUCCUACGGGAGGCCGCAGUGGGGAAUAUUGGACAAAGGGCGCAAGCCUGAUCCAGCCAUACCGCGUGGGUGAAGAAGGCCUUCGGGUUGUAAAGCCCUUUUGUUGGGAAAGAAAAGCAGCAGGUUAAUACCCCGCUGCUCUGACGGUACCCAAAGAAUAAGCACCGGCUAACUUCGUG